UGAUGAUGAUGAUGAUGAUGAUGAUGACGAUGUUAAAUAAUAAGAUGAAACAACACUUUAUCAGCUAUGUUUUCCUCAUUUUAACACCACCAUUAUCAUCAUCAAUACCA
rnacentral:miRNA from 1 species